AGAGUUUGAUCCUGGCUCAGGACGAACGCUGGCGGCGUGCUUAACACAUGCAAGUCGAACGCUGAAGCCCUUCGGGGUGGAUGAGUGGCGAACGGGUGAGUAACACGUGGGUAAUCUGCCCUGCACUCUGGGAUAAGCCUUGGAAACGGGGUCUAAUACCGGAUAGGACACGUGGCCGCAUGGUCUGCGUGUGGAAAGUUCCGGCGGUGCAGGUUGAGCCCGCGGCCUAUCAGCUUGUUGGUGGGGUGAUGGCCUACCAAGGCGACGACGGGUAGCCGGCCUGAGAGGGUGACCGGCCACACUGGGACUGAGACACGGCCCAGACUCCUACGGGAGGCAGCAGUGGGGAAUCUUGCGCAAUGGGCGAAAGCCUGACGCAGCAACGCCGCGUGGGGGAUGACGGCCUUCGGGUUGUAAACCUCUUUCGACAUCGACGAAGCCUUCGGGUGACGGUAGGUGUAGAAGAAGCACCGGCUAACUACGUG
rnacentral:rRNA from 1 species